rnacentral:rRNA from 1 species
UAAGGAAUAUUGGUCAAUGGGCGGAAGCCUGAACCAGCCAUGCCGCGUGCAGGAAGACGGCCCUACGGGUUGUAAACUGCUUUUGCAGGGGAAUAAACCUCAUUACGUGUAAUGAGCUGAAUGUACUCUGAGAAUAAGGAUCGGCUAACUCCGUGCCAGCAGCCGCGGUAAUACGGAGGAUCCGAGCGUUAUCCGGAUUUAUUGGGUUUAAAGGGUGCGUAGGCGGCCUGUUAAGUCAGGGGUGAAAGACGGUAGCUCAACUAUCGCAGUGCCCUUGAUACUGAUGGGCUUGAAUGUACUAGAGGUAGGCGGAAUGUGACAAGUAGCGGUGAAAUGCAUAGAUAUGUCACAGAACACCAAUUGCGAAGGCAGCUUACUAUGGUAUGAUUGACGCUGAGGCACGAAAGCGUGGGGAUCAAACAGGAUUAGAUACCCCCGUAGUCC